UUGUAAAACUAUCUAUUAUAUGAGUCUGUCUACUAUACUAUCAAUAGCAGCAAAUACUAAGUGCUGUUAAAUUUUUCACCGUUAGAUUUAUCUCUUUGAUCAUUUUCAUAUGUUAGAUUAUACAUACUAUUCAACCAACCAUUCAUUUAACCCUAAAGAACUGCUAUCAUCCUACCAGCAUAUUUUUUCAUCCAAGAAUCGAAGAUCUAAUAGCACCAAUAAGUUGUGCUAUUAAUAGUAUAGUAACCUAGUUUCUAUUUUAUCCUAAACUUUCAAAAGAAGAUUGAAAAGAUAUUUUGACAUAAUUACAUUUAGAACAAAUUAUUUUUUAAAAAAUUAAUAGUUUUAUUAUACUUUAAUUAUUAAUUACUAAACCCUAAAUAUUAUUAUUAAAUUCUAGAUGCAAUUAUUAUAUUCUUAAACCUAAGUCCCACCCCUUUCGCGCCCGCGUGUGUUUAUAUAUAUAUCUAUACUAUAUAUAAAAGCACGUAUAUUCAAAUUUGGGUCUGUCGAUAGACCCAUUUUUCGGCGGAAAAAUUAGCGCUCAUUUUUCUCUUUCCGUACGAAAAAUUUUAAAUAUAAGAAUAAAAAUAGAAAUAGAACAGCAAUGAAUACGUAAGUUAUCUAUAACAGAUUACUGAUGUAAAAAUCCUAAAAUAUAAAAUUUUCUAUUUAAUUUCAAAAGUAAGUUUUCUAUAACAGAUUACGGGUGUGAAAAUCCUAUAAAAGAUAUUUUCCCAUUUUAUUUUAAAAUAUCUUUUUAGAUAUUAUCUAUUUAAUUUCAAAAUAUAUUUUCUUUUUAAGAUAACGGAUUUUAUUUUUCUAUUUAAUUUCAAAAAUUUAUUUCCUAACAGAUUUUAUUUUUCUAUUUAAUUUCAAAAGUAAUUUUUGCAUUAGAGAUUAUUGUUAAUUAUUUAUNAUAUACGCCCCCUCUCUCUCUCUCUCUCUCUCUCUCUCUCUCUCUCUCUCUCUCUCUCUAUAUAUAUAUAUAUAUAUAUAUAUAUAUAUAUAAUUGAACUAGAAUACUAUCGAUAGCAAACGGGCUCCGUUGCCACCCAUUUAUUUUCGAUGAUUGAGCCUCCAAAUCGACGAUCGGCACCGUUGAACAUGAUCUAUACCACUUGAAAUGUUUAGAAAUCAAAUUUCAAUUUUUUUUGACAUUAUUUACCUAAUGAUCAAAGAGUUUCAAAAUUUGUAAUUUUAAUGGUCGAUAUGAAGCGUUUUCUCGUUUAACGGCUUAAAGAUAUCCAAAUCAAUUAAAUUUUUAUUAGAAAAUUCUUUAAACUAUUUAAAACAAGAUCUAUACUCUUAAUCUUGAUUACAAGACUCUUAUCAUCAUUUUUUAAAGAAAAUUUAUUUUCAACCAUUCAUUUUUGUGUCCGCUCGAUGGAUAAGAAAAGAAAAUCGAAAAUAUAUAAAAUUUGAUUUCUAAACACUUCAAGUGGUAUAGAUCAUAUUUAACGGUGCCAAUCGUCGAUUUGGAGGCUUCAUCAUAAAAAAUAAAUAGAUAGCAACAAAGCUCGUUUACUAUCGAUAGUAUUCUAGCUCAACUCUAUAUAUAUAUAUGUCAGGAGUUCGGCUACUAUACUAUCGAUAGUACCAAGCUCUUGGUACUAUUGAGUUUUCUACCGUUAGAUCUACCCUUUGAUCAUUUCCAACCGUUAGAUUAUACUAUUAAACCAACCACCCACUCAACCCUAGAGGGCCACUAUCAAUUUAAUCGGGAACCACUAUCAUCCUAACCGCACAUCUUUUCAUCCAACGGCUGAAAACUCAAUAGUACUAAGGACUUAGUACUAUUGAUAGUAUAGUAGCAUAAUUCUAUAUGUCAACUCAUUAACAAGGCAAUGGAGUAUCAAAAAUAAGGUACCUAAGUAUUUCUCAAUUUUUAAUAUUUUAUAUUAA
rnacentral:lncRNA from 1 species